GACGAACGCUGGCGGCGUGCCUAAUACAUGCAAGUAGAACGCACAGUUUAUACCGUAGCUUGCUACACCAUAAACUGUGAGUUGCGAACGGGUGAGUAACGCGUAGGUAACCUGCCUGGUAGCGGGGGAUAGCUAUUGGAAACGAUAGCUAAUACCGCAUAAUAUUAAUUAUUGCAUGAUAAUUGAUUGAAAGAUGCAAUUGCAUCACUACCAGAUGGACCUGCGUUGUAUUAGCUAGUAGGUGAGGUAACGGCUCACCUAGGCGACGAUACAUAGCCGACCUGAGAGGGUGAUCGGCCACACUGGGACUGAGACACGGCCCAGACUCCUACGGGAGGCAGCAGUAGGGAAUCUUCGGCAAUGGACGAAAGUCUGACCGAGCAACGCCGCGUGAGUGAAGAAGGUUUUCGGAUCGUAAAGCUCUGUUGUAAGAGAAGAACGGGUGUGAGAGUGGAAAGUUCACACUGUGACGGUAUCUUACCAGAAAGGGACGGCUAACUACGUG
rnacentral:rRNA from 1 species